rnacentral:pre_miRNA from 1 species
CAACUAAUCCCUCUGUCCCAAAUUUCUUGUCUUAGAUUUGUCUAGAUACGGAUGUAUCUAAUACUAAAAUGUGACUUGAUACAUCCAUAUCUAGACAAAUCUAAGACAGGAAUUUUGGGACGGAGGGAGUACUUU